rnacentral:lncRNA from 1 species
CUAAGGUUAUAGGACAAGUAAAGCAGAAAACAUAUUCUAGGCAGAGAAAUGGAUGAGAACACAGAGAGGGGAAAUGAGGGCCCUUAAUUAGGGAGCAUUUCCAGUUGAUAGAGUUUAGGGCAGUAAAGAGAAAUAUUAGGAAUAAGAGAUAUAAUAAUAGUACAUGAGAUAUUUUUGGAAGUUCUCGGCUAUCAAGCUGAAUAAUCUGAACUCUAUAUAAACUGAACAAUCAUUGAAAGAUUUUGAGCUUAAGAAUUGUGUGACAGAUGCAGCCAUAAAAAAGAAUGAGAUCAUGUCUUGUGGGAAUAUGGAUGGAGCUGCAGGCUAUUAUCCUUAGCAAACAACGCAGGAACAGAAAACCUGUGUUACAGAAUACGGCUUGUUCUCACAAUUGGGAGCUAAAUGAAGAGAACUUACCAACGCAAAGACAGAAAUGACAGACAUGGGUGUACCUGAAGGUGCAGGGUGGGAGGAGGGAGAGGAGCAAGAUGACUAUUGGGUAUUGGGCUUAAUUCCUGGGUGAUGAAAUAAUCUGUACAACAAACUCCCAUGACAUGAAUUUACCUAUGUAACAUAUCCUCACAUGUACCCCCGAACCUAAAAGUUUUUUUUUAUAUUGUGUAAUCAUUACACUAUAAUGGAAUAAUAUUUUAGGAAGGUUAAUCUGAUACCGGGAUGCACUAAAGAGGCAGAAGGUGGAGGGGACACUAUAGUGCAUUCCAACAGAAAUGAGCAUGAAUUUUGAUAGAGGCAGUAGAAAGAGAAGAGGGUGGAGCCCAGGUGAUGAGUAGAGAAUACAUAAUGAAUGAAAGAGAAAGAUGAGAGGGGAAGGGUUUGUUUUCAGAGAUACAGAAUUUAGACAAGUUGAAAAUGUGACCUCGGUUUCCUGAGAGCUUGAGGUAUAACAGGCUUGGGGAACAGGCUUGCAGAAAAGUGAGAGUUAAUAUUAAGAUCUAAGAGAGCAAACAAAGGAAGAGAGGACCAAAAUAGACUCCGGGUUGGGGGGCGGGGAACCUAUUUAAGAGAAAGUGGGAUCUGUUUUUUAAAAACUGGAACAAACAAAAUGAAGAAAAAGUAGUCAGAGAUGUAGAAUGAGAGCUAGAAUAUAGAUCUUCCAAGCUAAUAGAGAAAGAAUGGUCAACCACAUCACCACUCUCCCCAACUACCCUCACCAGUCUUGAGUUUUCACUUUGUUUCAUUUCUCAAUUGGUUAAAACAGUGGUUCUCAAACCUGGCAUUUAUCACAAUCUCCUGGGAAUGAGGAUAUCAAAGAAUUCAGGUCUGGAGAUUUUGUUUGAAAUCUCAAAAUCUGUCUAUUUAAACAUUUCCCUUACAGCUCAUGGGCCACUACUUCAGAUAUAAUUUGGGUUACAGUAUUAAAGGAAAUGUGGUAAACACUAAAAUCAAAUAAACACACUUAAAAAUUAUUACACAGUUGAAGAAAAACUAUUAAAAUCUUAGGAUAUAUGUGAGAGUUGGAUAAGCAGGAGGAAAGGGGGAAGCAAUAUAGGGCUAAAUCUGUUUACAUGUAAAAGUCAGAAGUUAUUCUUUUGUCUUUGUUUUUAUAAUUAGAUGUGACAAAGAUAAAAGAAUGGAUAUUACAUUAUGAGUAUUUGUAGACUUCUCCCCUCUCCCUACUUCCUAACAAGGUUCCUGGCCUCCCUGCUGAACUCUGGGUACUAAGGUGCCAGUCUGAAAAAUGAAAGAAGAGGAAAACUGAAAGAAGCCUGGCUCAAUUAGCCUAUAUAAAAAUGAAAAUGGCUAACAACUGGGAACUUACUGUCAGGCUAAGAUAAUUGAGAACCUUACUGUAAGGUAUUUACUGUUCUAAAUACCUGACAUAUAUUAACUCAUUUAAUUCUCACAACAACCCUAUGAAUUAAAUAUUAUUACUAUUUCUAUUGUACACGUGGGAAACAGAGCUAGUAAGUGGCACAGAUGGAUUCAAACUCAGGCAGUCAAUAGCUCCAGAACUUUUGCUGGUCUUAAUCACUACCCUAUACACUUCAUAUAAUAAAUAAUGAACAGGCUGGGCACGGAGGCUCAUGCCUGUAAUCCCAGCACUUUGAGAGGCUGAGGCAGAUGGAUCACGAGGUUAGGAGUUCAAGACCAUCUUGGCCAACAUGGAGAAACUCCGUCUCUACUAAAAAUACAAAAAUUAGCUGAGCAUGGUGGUGCACCCCUGUAGUCCCAGCUACUCGGGAGGCUGAGGCAUGAGAAUCACUUAAACCCGGGAGGCAGAGGGUGCAGUGAGCUGAGAUCGUGCCACUGUACUCCAGCCUAGGCAACAGAACGAGAUUCCGCCUCAAAAUAAAUAAAUAAAUAAAUAAACAAAUAAUGAACAGAUAAAGAGUGAGGCAGAGAGAAAAUAAACCAGUGGAACGCAUUGAAAAAGAUACUUUUGAGAGUACAUGGAGAACAGAUAAAAGACAUUAAAACUAAGUGUAUUAAUUAAAAAUAUGAAGUGAUAGGAGGCACUUUUACAACUAAUACAUUAGAAAAUUUUUUAUUUAAAUGGUCAACAUUUUGUAGACUAAUUAUAGUUUGCUCCCAUCCCAGAAUACAUCUUGGGAGUAGAUAACUUAUCAGGCCUGACCCCACAAACAACUGCAGGGGAAUUCUGACGGAGAGUUAGGUGGUGAACCCUGUGAUCAGAGAAUGCAAAAUGGACACCAGGACACUUUCCAGCCCUGCCGUGAGUAGAGGUGCUGAGCAAUACCACCUGCAAGGGUGGGGACAUGAUGAAAUCACAGAGACUAUAUGGGAGUUAGCCUGGGCAGGCACUAUAAGGCCAGUGCACAGCCCAUACAACAGCCCUGAAUGGCCCAUGCAGAAGCCUGAUGGGACACAAAGAAUAACAGUAGAUUACUAGGAAUUAAGUAAGGUGGUCCCCCCAGUGUAUGUGGCUGUUCUCAAUAUCACCUCUCUUGGGACAAGGGUAGGAGAAGCCAUGGGCAUAUACCAUUUGGCUAUUGAUAGCCAAUGCCUUCGGCAUCCCCCAUCGCCCUCAGAGAGUCAAGACCAAUUUGCAUUCACAUGGGAAGAAAAACAAUGGACUGUCUUGCCCAGGGAUACCACCCUGGAGGGGAUACAUGUUUUCCAUUAACUUUUAGGUCUUUUUCUGGCUUAUAAUCUGCACAGCCCCCACCUUACCCUCUCACUUGGCGAACAAAGGAUUGGCAGUCAACGCAUACAAAGACCAGAGGCCAGUGUGCCUUUAGGAUUCUGGUCCCAGCUGUGGAAGGGGGCUUCAGCUAGCUGGAGUGCCACAACUCUGGGCUAUGUAUGCUUUACAAUAAGUGGAGGACAUUACAAAGUGGGUCCUAGUGCUAGUACGCACCCAGUACCAAUAGCAGGUUGACUAAAGGGUACCUUCCGGAAGCUAAAGCCUGGGAAUGCCCAAACACAGACUGUAGCCAAAAGGCAUGCAUACCUCAACAAAGGAGCACAUUCAUUAAUAGCCCCUUGAGCACAGAGCUCCAUUUGGUGCUCAGUACUGUCACCUAUGUAACAUCUGAAAGACAGUCUUUGAAAGAGGCCGCUGAACCUCCACAGAUUUCCUCCUUUGUACAGGAGGGACAGGGCCCAAUUCUUGACCAGAUCUGGUACACAGAGAGCUUGCUAUGAGGCAAUCCUUGCACAUGGACAGCUGCAGCCAUCCAGCUGUCCACUGACAGGAUCUGGCUUGAUACAGGCCUAGGACUUAGUAACAAAUGGGCUAAGCUGAGAGCCACCUAGACGAUCCUCCUCUAUGAGCCGGACCCAAUAGUCUUGUGUACCAACAGCUGGGCCAUCUUUAAGGGACUUGCUAUGUGGCUACCACAAGGAGAAGCUCAGGAUUGGACAGUAGCAGGCUGCCUGCUUUGGGGUGCUGGCAUGUGGAAGGACAUUCUCUGUCACAUCCAGGGAAUGCAUGUAACAGUCUUCCAUGUGGAUGCCCACACUGCAUCUACGCCAUCUGGAAAUCAACAUGAGAACAAGCUAGCCUGCAUUCAUCUCUUCAAGGUAGUCCCCACAGACGUGGCCCACUGGCUGCCCAAAAAGACAGGACUUUGGGGACAGCAUUCCCUUUGGGCCACAGUGAAGAAUUAGGGCCUGCCACUAUGACAUAAAGACAUAGUACACCUCUGUCAGCAAUGUCCUACCCAUGCACAGGAAUGCCCUAGGCCCUUGCCACACAAUACUGGAGAGAUCCCCUGGGGCCAGAGUCCAGUACAAUGGUGGCAGGUAGACUACAUAGGGCAUUUGUUUCUAUCUAAUGGCUGCUACUAUACCUUGACUUAUGUGGACACCUGCACAGGGCUACCACAGUCAUAUCCCAGCAAGCAUGCUACCCAGAAAACUAUCAUAAAAGGACUAGAGUGGCUGUGUGUGGCCUAUGGUGUCCCCACCAAUAUCAAUAGUGACCAGGGCUUGCACUUUACCAGACAUAAAGUGUAGGAAUGGGUGGAGGCCCUGGAUAUCCACUGACAUUUCCACCUGCUGUACAUCCCUGCAGCCGUGGGGCUGAUUUAAAGGAUGAAUGGACUGUUGAAGCAACAACUCCAGCAGGAGACGCACUCUGGCUCUGUGGACACACCAUUUACCAGCAGUUGUCUGCACCCUGAAUGAACAUGGCGUUCUCAUCACCAGUGCCUAUGUCCUUCCGAUGCAAGAACGUGAUACCACUCUCAGGAUCCAGGUGGACAAGAUGGUGUGCAGCAGACCCUCUUUACCAACUGGGCACAGAUGGUGGCCUCUCUCCAGAACAAAACAGACUGUUGGGCCUGUGAAGAGCUGCCCCUCUCCUCCAUCAUAAGCCUGCUGUGGUGAAUCCAAAAUUAACUCCCAAGUUGGAUUAUUUUUUGUUUUAGUUUGCAUUGCUGCUGCAGCAGUCUGGCAGCGAUGCUUCUCCACAUUACCUGGCCCCAGGGAAAUCAUGGAAGAAUAGCGUGAUAAAAAUGUGAGAGCUGUUCCAGGGUAGCUGGGGUGGACUGUAUGGUAGAAGCACCUGAUAGCAGUACCUUAACUUAGCCAUAACCUGAGAAUGGCCCUGUAUGGCAGAGGCACCUGAAUGUGUGUUCAGAGUUCCAAGCUGAGGAAUCCAGGAGUGGCCAACCCAGGCAUUCAUUCCUUAUCUAUGAGGAACAUCUGAGCCCCUGGCCUGUCUAGUGAAACACAGGCCAUACAGGGGAUUGAGGCCCUUUGUUUUGGGUUAAGUGAAGGUUGCCAGGUGAAGAUGGUUAGGGGGAGGGUGCUUAGUGAAAAUGCUAUAUAAACUACAUGCUUUUUGCAAGUGGUUACAGUUCUCCUGCCCAGCCUGCUGCCUCUGGGCCGUAUGGUUCUCCAGCCCAGCACCCCCUCACUGGGCUGUGUGGUUCUCCUGUCCAGCCUGCCGCCACUGGCCCUCCCUCUUUGUAGGUUUCCUGCUAAUAAAGCCCUAUGUCCUG